rnacentral:tRNA from 1 species
GCCCGCCUAGCUCAAUCGGUAGAGCGUCAGACUCUUACUGGCAUAUGGCGGGGUCAUCUGAAGGUUGUGGGUUCGACCCCCACGGUGGGCU